rnacentral:rRNA from 1 species
AUGCACGCUGGCGGCGUGCCUAAUACAUGCAAGUCGAGCGAACAGACGAGGAGCUUGCUCCUCUGACGUUAGCGGCGGACGGGUGAGUAACACGUGGCUAACCUACCUAUAAGACUGGGAUAACUUCGGGAAACCGGAGCUAAUACCGGAUAAUAUAUUGAACCGCAUGGUUCAAUAGGGAAAGACGGUUUUGCUGUCACUUAUAGAUGGAUCCGCGCCGCAUUAGCUAGUUGGUAAGGUAACGGCUUACCAAGGCAACGAUGCGUAGCCGACCUGAGAGGGUGAUCGGCCACACUGGAACUGAGACACGGUCCAGACUCCUACGGGAGGCAGCAGUAGGGAAUCUUCCGCAAUGGGCGAAAGCCUGACGGAGCAACGCCGCGUGAGUGAUGAAGGUCUUCGGAUCGUAAAACUCUGUUAUUAGGGAAGAACAAAUGUGUAAGUAACUAUGCACGUCUUGACGGUACCUAAUCAGAAAGCCACGGCUAACUACGUG